CCCACAUGGCCAGGCCCUCCUUGGGGGUGGCCUGCAAGUACUGCAGCACAGGCCCGUGGCUUCCUGUUUCUCCCUGCUCACAAAUGCAGGUUGAGUGGGGAAUGCAGGACUUUCAGAUUCCAUGGAGGAGAAAGUGACGUUGGAAUAGAGAAGACAUCCCAGGAUUGUUGAAUUGAAGGUGUCUCUGUGAUUCCCUUGUUUUACAAAUGAGGAAACUGAGGCCCAGAGAGGUGACGUGACUUGCUUAAGGUCACCUAAGCAGGUCUUGAGUUAAAAGCCCCAAAUACCACAGCCCCAAGGGGCAAGGGUUGGAGGGUGCCAGGAAAGGCAAGACAAGACACUUUUCUGCUUCUGUCUCCAGCUGCCCACAGUGGGGCAGAGACCUGGGCUGCUGAGAACUCCAGCCUGGAAGCAGAAGGCCGUUAGAGCCGAGGCUGAAACCUGGUGGCCCUCAGGCCACAUCUGACCCACUGACCUAUUUAUUUGGCCUGAAAAGUAUUUGAGAGAAAAUGGAGCCAAGGUUUAAAAAUCAAGAGAUUUUACAAUAAAAUCUGGU